AAACAGGUGAAAUCUGGGAGUCUGAAGAACAGAUAAAUCUGGAUUCAUUCAAUACCAAUGUCUUCUUUGAAAUUCUGCUCACACAGUCACUGUCAGUUACAGCCAAACUGAGCCAAUUUAAAAAAGAGCUGAAAAUCUUGUAUCACAAACUUAUGACCGAAAUAGCUUCACUCAGAGAGCUUUGGAUAAUGAGGCUGUGUAUCUCAGAGAAGGCAGAAUCUCAUGACAGCAUAACGAUGGAGAACUAUAUGAAGGCAAAAUAUCAGGCAGAAGAGGAGAUGCUACACAGAAAGCAGCUGGCUGCUGAAUAUGAUGAGAUUGUGAAUAAACAACUUCACUUAUUACACCAUGAUUUGAAAUGCCAAGAAGAGCAUUGUGUCUUGUUCAAGUCUGCCCUGAGAGAGGCAGGGAGAUUGGUGGAAGUACUGACGGAGAAGAUGGCUUGUGGAGGGAACAGAGCCAUGUGGUCUAAACCAGACUACCAAUGACUCGGAUGGCUGUGUGAGGGCACCUAACACCAUCUACAUGGAUCCUAUAACUGGACUCUUAACUCCCAACCCAGACUGUGUCACGCUGUUGGUCAAUCACUGCCCCAUGCCCGUGUCUAGGGAUCAGUUCCUACACCCUGAGACUGGAAAAGUGCUCCCCGUGGCUGGUAAUGUUGGAUAUGAUCCAGUCAGCUCUAAACUGAUCUCUGCUGUUGACUCUGCUUCAGGUACGGGACCACAUGGGGAUAAUUGAUAUAUCCACUUGCCUACAUGGGGA
rnacentral:lncRNA from 1 species